AUGCUGCUUCCUGUUGGUUCUAUUCAGGAGAUUGACAAGCGGUGUCGUGCUUUCUUUUGGGCUGGCGAUGACCACGUGAAUGGGGGUCAAUGCAAAGUUGCUUGGGCAGACGUCUGUGCCCCCACUAAGAAGGGCGGCCUGGGCUUUAGAUGCCUUCGUACUCAUAAUAUUUGCCUGCUUCUAAAAUCCCUCAGUAAAAUACACCAACCCGGUCUUGGCUCUUGGGACUCUUGGCUGGCCUCCACGUAUGGCUGGGAAGGCGGGCACUACAUUGGUGACACUCAUAGACUACACACAAUAGUUUGGAAGGACCUCCUGUCUGGUCUCCCUUUCUUCCGCUCUAUUACCCACGUCAAGAUCGGUAACGGUGUCUCAACCGCGUUUUGGUUGGAUCUAUGGAUCGGCAACGAUACCUUGGCUGCUCGCUUCCCAAGUCUUUUCUCCCAUGUUACAAAACCUAAUGUAUCUGUUGCAUUUGUUCUUUCGGCGGAGGAUCUUCGUCUUUCGUUACAACCACGUCUGACCAUCGCUGCUACUAACGAGCUUCUUUGCCUGCGUACUGUUUUAGCCACAGUUAACUUGAUGCCACAGGUGCCAGAUAACCGUUUAUGCAGGAUCAACGAUAAGCUUCUUUCUGUUGCUUCUGCGUAUGGAGCUGCUUUCUCAUCUUGGCCGGAUGAUUAG
rnacentral:rRNA from 1 species